rfam:Hordeum vulgare subsp. vulgare, WGS project CAJW01000000 data, contig: morex_contig_1566133
AAAAUACUCCCUCCGUCCGGAAUUACUUGUCGCACAAAUGGAUAAAAAUGAUGUGUCUAAAACUAAAAUACAUCUAGAUACAUCCAUUCCAAUGACAAGUAUUUCCAGACGGAGGGAGGAAUAG